GACGGAAGGUGCAAGCGUUGCUCGGAAUCACUGGGCGUAAAGGGUGCGUAGGCGGCCGUGCAAGUCUGGCGUGAAAGCCCCGGGCUCAGCCCGGGAAGUGCGCUCUAAACUGCGCGGCUCGAGUGCCGGAGGGGAGAGUGGAAUUCCUGGUGUAGAGGUGAAAUUCGUAGAUAUCAGGAGGAACACCGGCGGCGAAGGCGGCUUCCUGGCCCAAUACUGACGUUCAGGUACGAAAGCGUGGGUAGCAAACAGG
rnacentral:rRNA from 1 species